rnacentral:RNase_P_RNA from 1 species
CGCCGGACGGUCGCGCGGUAUGUUGCCGUAAGGUAUUACCGUGAGGAAAGUCCGGGCUUCACAGGACAGGAUAGCUGAUAACGUCAGCCGCGGGUAACCGCCGGGAAAGUGCAACAGAAAGAAACCGCCGCUUUUGCGGUAAGGAUGGAAAGGCGAGGUAAGAGCUCACCCGUUCCCAUGGUAACAUGGGUCCGCUGUAAACCCUAUCCGAAGCAACACCCCAGGGACGGCUUGUCCGGCAUAUCGUCAGGGGUGGCACGGGAGAAUCCUCCCGGAGCGUUCCGGCGACGGAGCGCGGAGAUUGAUGACCGUUCAAGACAGAACCCGGCUUACAGACGAA